rnacentral:rRNA from 1 species
UACGGAGGGUGCGAGCGUUGUCCGGAAUCAUUGGGCGUAAAGGGCGCGUAGGUGGCCCAGUAAGCGUGCGGUGAAAGCUCGGGGCUCAACCCCGAGCGGUCGUGGGAAACUGGUUGGCUAGAGUGCGGGAGAGGAGAGUGGAAUUCCUGGUGUAGCGGUGAAAUGCGCAGAUAUCAGGAAGAACACCCGUGGCGAAGGCGGCUCUCUGGAACGCAACUGACGCUGAGACGCGAAAAGCGUGGGGGAGCAAAACAGG